ACAUCCAGAGAACUUAGCAGAGAUGCUUUGGUGCCUUCGGGAACUCUGAGACAGGUGCUGCAUGGCUGUCGUCAGCUCGUGUUGUGAAAUGUUGGGUUAAGUCCCGNAACGAGCGCAACCCUUAUCCUUUGUUGCCAGCGGCUCGGCCGGGAAACUCAAAGGAGACUGCCGGUGAUAAACCGGAGGAAGGUGGGGAUGACGUCAAGUCAUCAUGGCCCUUACGGCCAGGGCUACACACGUGCUACAAUGGCGCAUACAAAGAGAAGCGACCUCGCGAGAGCAAGCGGACCUCAUAAAGUGCGUCGUAGUCCGGAUUGGAGUCUGCAACUCGACUCCAUGAAGUCGGAAUCGCUAGUAAUCGUAGAUCAGAAUGCUACGGUGAAUACGUUCCCGGGCCUUGUACACACCGCCCGUCACACCAUGGGAGUGGGUUGCAAAAGAAGUAGGUAGCUUAACCUUCGGGAGGGCGCUUACCACUUCGUGAUUCAUGACUGGGGUGAAGUCGUAACAAGGUAAGCGUACGUGU
rnacentral:rRNA from 1 species